UACGUAGGGUGCGAGCGUUGUCCGGAAUUACUGGGCGUAAAGAGCUCGUAGGUGGUUUGUCACGUUGUCCGUGAAAACUCACAGCUUAACUGUGGGCGUGCGGGCGAUACGGGCAGACUGGAGUACUGUAGGGGAGACUGGAAUUCCUGGUGUAGCGGUGGAAUGCGCAGAUAUCAGGAGGAACACCGGUGGCGAAGGCGGGUCUCUGGGCAGUAACUGACGCUGAGACGCGAAAGCUAGGGGAGCGAACAGG
rnacentral:rRNA from 1 species